AUUGAACGCUGGCGGCAGGCUUAACACAUGCAAGUCGAGCGGGGAAAGGUAGCUUGCUACCUGACCUAGCGGCGGACGGGUGAGUAAUGCUUAGGAAUCUGCCUAUUAGUGGGGGACAACAUUCCGAAAGGAAUGCUAAUACCGCAUACGCCCUACGAGGGAAAGCAGGGGAUCUUCGGACCUUGCGCUAAUAGAUGAGCCUAAGUCAGAUUAGCUAGUUGGUGGGGUAAAGGCCUACCAAGGCGACGAUCUGUAGCGGGUCUGAGAGGAUGAUCCGCCACACUGGGACUGGAACACGGCCCAGACUCCUACGGGAGGCAGCAGUGGGGAAUAUUGGACAAUGGGCGAAAGCCUGAUCCAGCCAUGCCGCGUGUGUGAAGAAGGCCUUUUGGUUGUAAAGCACUUUAAGCGAGGAGGAGGCUACUUGGAUUAAUACUCUAGGAUAGUGGACGUUACUCGCAGAAUAAGCACCGGCUAACUCUGUGCCAGCCGCCGCGGUAA
rnacentral:rRNA from 1 species